CGGGGGCCGCACCUGGCGCGGCGCGCGGUGCCCGGGGCCGGCGGAAUCACGCGCCGCGGUGGAGCCGGGCGGCCAGCGCCGCCUCCGGCACGUCCCCGUCCUUCCUCCCCGCCCACCCCCCUCCGGCCGGCGGAGCUUUCAGAAUGUCACCCCGCAUUCUUUGGCCCCGUUUCACUGCCUUUUGCAUGAGAAGCUACUAGCACUUGUGUGGAGGGGGGAUGAGGAGCAACACUUGACCAAGUGACUACACUUGUCUACACCACAGGAACUCUACAGGCUUAUUGGAUCUAUUCGGUUUGCACUUGUAACAAGAGGAUGGGUCCCCAUGUUCUAAUUUUACAGAAACCUGCAGAUUUGCAGGGUAAAGGAGCUGUAUGUGCCAGAAGACAGCAUUCUUUGGGAAACAUGGUGCACAGGACAGCAUGGGAACCAGGCUUUGCUUUCUCUGAGGAUUCAGGACAACUCUAGCUUUGCUGCUGAUAGAAGAAUGAAAUAAUUUCUCUCUUUUUAAUGCAUACAAGGUAAUCUUUGCUUCAUAACAAGUGGCAUCUGUAAACUGUAAUUAGACAAUAAUCUUUUUUAUUUGUUUGCAACUGUACGUUUACUUCAAAGUUACGAUUUCAGUCAAUUCACUACCUAAUCGCUAUCAAAUUUUCCCAGUGUAGUGUAAGCUUUGGAGUGAGGAGCUUUCUGCCUGCCAGCCUUGCCAUUCCCAGUGACACAGCAACUUGUAACAUUCCAGGAACUUCUCACUUGCUCUCCAUGCUUUUUUUUUUUUUGGUCUCCCCAGUCUGAAUAUGCUCACCAGAUGCAACGAUGGUUUAACAAAAACACCAUCAAAAAAAAGACCAAAGAAAGGUCUCGCUAGAUGCAGUAUUUCCCAGUGGCUUAUUUUCCAGUGGGUUAUCCUUGCUGAAAUGAGUAUGUAACAAACUCUGCUAACCAGUGGAAAUUCCAGAGAUAAAUUCAUACCAGAGAUACUCAGCUCCAUGUAGUUCUGGGCAACUAUUGUGCAAUAGUUGAUCUAAACAUUGAAUAAAGAACUACUAAAUUUACUUAGUG